AGUGGAUGGGGAGCAACCUAGUUGUGCGUGUGUAAAGGUAGUGCCAAGAAAAGCGGUGAUCAUGAUGAAAAUCAAUUCCCGGUACCCGAAACCGACACAGGUGGGCAAGUAGAGAAUACUAAGGGGCGCGAGGUAACUCUCUCCAAGGAACUCGGCAAAAUGACCCCGUAACCUAGGGAGAAGGGGUGCCACCGAGAGGUGGUCGCAGUGAAGAGGCCCAGGCGACUGUUUAGCAAAAACAUAGGUCUCUGCAAACUCGAAAGAGGAGGUAUAGGGGCUGACGCCUGCCCAGUGCCGGAAGGUUAAAGAAGUUGGUCAGUCUUAGGAUGAAGCUAGCGACUGAAGCCCCGGUGAACGGCGGCCGUAACUAUAACGGUCCUAAGGUAGCGAAAUUCCUUGUCGGGUAAGUUCCGACCCGCACGAAAGGCGUAACGAUCUGGGCGCUGUCUCGGAGAGAGGCUCGGCGAAAUAGGAUUGUCUGUGAAGAUACGGACUACCUGCAUUUGGACAGAAAGACCCUAUGAAGCUUUACUAUAGCUUGGAAUUGUGUUCGGGCUUCCUGUGCGCAGGAUAGGUGGGAGGCGUAGAAGGUAUUCUUGUGGGGAUACUGGAGCCAACGGUGAGAUACCACUCUCAGGAGGCUAGAAUUCUAACUUAAUUAAGGACAGUUUCAGGUGGGUAGUUUGACUGGGGCGGUCGCCUCCAAAAAGGUAACGGAGGCGUACAAAGGUUCCCUCAGACUGGUUGGAAAUCAGUCGAAGAGUGCGAAGGCAGAAGGGAGCUUGACUGCGAGAAGUACAGUUCGAGCAGGGUGGAAACACGGUCUUAGUGAUCCGACGGUGCUGUGUGGAAGGGCCGUCGCUCAACGGAUAAAAGUUACUCUAGGAUAACAGGCUGAUCUCCCCCAAGAGUUCACAUCGACGGGGAGGUUUGGCACCUCGAUGUCGGCUCAUCGCAACCUGGGGCGGAAGUACGUCCCAAGGGUUGGGCUGUUCGCCCAUUAAAGCGGUACGUGAGCUGGGUUCAGAACGUCGUGAGACAGUUCGGUCCAUAUCCGAUGUAGGCGUGAGAAUAUUGAGAGGAGCCUUCCUUAGUACGAGAGGACCGGGAAGGACGCACCGCUGGUGUACCUGUUAUGAUGCCGAUUGUAAACGCAGGGUAGCCAAGUGCGGAGAGGAUAACCGCUGAAAGCAUCUAAGUGGGAGGCCCACCUCAAGAUGAGUAUUCUGGUGUAAGGUCACGGGAAGACGACCCGUAAAUAGGCACGAGGUGGAAGUGCAGAGAUGUAUGAAGCCGAAGUGUACUAAUAGACCGUCGGCUUGACC
rnacentral:rRNA from 1 species